rnacentral:rRNA from 1 species
UACGGGGGGGGCAAGCGUUGUUCGGAAUUACUGGGCGUAAAGGGCUCGUAGGUGGCCAACUAAGUCGGACGUGAAAUCCCCGGGCUUAACCUGGGAACUGCAUUUGUGACUGCAUCGCUGGAGUGCGGCAGAGGGGGAUGGAAUUCCGCGUGUAGCAGUGAAAUGCGUAGAUAUGCGGAGGAACACCGAUGGCGAAGGCAAUCCCCUGGGCCUGCACUGACGCUCAUGCACGAAAGCGUGGGGAGCAAACAGG